rnacentral:ribozyme from 13 species
AUUAACAUGGCAAAGAAAAACAUGGAAAUUUUGGGGAUUGAUGAUGAUCGAGUUUCUUUUGUGCAUUGCAACCUAUCUCUUCUCCAAGUCGAUUCUAAACUAUUAUGGGAAGAGAGAAAGAAAAGAAAAAGAAAGGGAAUUUUGUUUUGUUUAUUUGAUUUAAAGAGAUAAUCAUGAGUAGCAAAGAAAAGAAGAAA